GAUGAAGAACGUAGCGAAAUGCGAUAAGUAAUGUGAAUUGCAGAAUUCAGUGAAUCAUCGAAUCUUUGAACGCACAUUGCGCCCCCUGGUAUUCCGGGGUGCAUGCCUGUCCGAGCGUCAUUACAACCCUCAAGCCCAGCUUGGUGUUGGGCCCCGCCGCCCCGGCGGGCCCUAAAGUCAGUGGCGGUGCCGUCCGGCUCCGAGCGUAGUAAUUCUUCUCGCUCUGGAGGUCCGGUCGUGUGCUCGCCAGCAACCCCCAAUUUUUUUCAGGUUGACCUCGGAUCAGGUAGGGAUACCCGCUGAACUUAAGCAUAUCAAUAAGCGGAGGA
rnacentral:misc_RNA from 1 species